rnacentral:rRNA from 1 species
GGGGAAUAUUGCACAAUGGGCGAAAGCCUGAUGCAGCAACGCCGCGUGAGUGAUGAAGGUCUUCGGAUUGUAAAGCUCUGUCUUUUGGGACGAUAAUGACGGUACCAAAGGAGGAAGCCACGGCUAACUACGUGCCAGCAGCCGCGGUAAUACGUAGGUGGCGAGCGUUGUCCGGAUUUACUGGACGCAAAGGGUGCGUAGGCGGAUGUUUAAGUGAGAUGUGAAAUACCCGGGCUUAACUUGGGUGCUGCAUUUCAAACUGGAUAUCUAGAGUGCAGGAGAGGAGAAUGGAAUUCCUAGUGUAGCGGUGAAAUGCGUAGAGAUUAGGAAGAACACCAGUGGCGAAGGCGAUUCUCUGGACUGUAACUGACGCUGAGGCACGAAAGCGUGGGUAGCAAACAGGAUUAGAUACCCUGGUAGUCCACGCCGUAAACGAUGAGUACUAGGUGUAGGAGGUAUCGACCCCUUCUGUGCCGCAGUAAACACAUUAAGUACUCCGCCUGGGAAGUACGAUCGCAAGAUUAAAAC